CUUGCUUAGCUCUGGAGCCCAUGUAGAUGGCGUCCAGUUGACCCGGCGGCCCGGUCCCGCCCCUAAAAUACAUUUUUUUACAAUGUAUGUUUGCUCGUAUUUCACCCCCCAAACACAAUAUAGGACUUUUACCACUCAGCACUUUCUAAAAUUGCACUGCACACACACACACACACAUUGCACCCCUGACACAUCCUGGAUCUACUAUACACAAACUGGAUUCCCUAUAGAUAAACACACUCUACAUUCCCUAAAUACACACUAUCUACAGCCCCUACACACUACAUCACCUGUACACAGAUACACUUCAGCCCCUGUACACACUAUGCCACGUAUACUCACUCCCUACAGUCCCUAGUCAUACAUUACACCACAAACGCAUCACAACUGAAAGUCACCUAUAUACACAAAACACCACACCACAAUCAGCUCACGCUAUACACACAAUCCCACAAGCAGGCUCCAAACACAUGCAAAAUACACUUUCCUGGCACUUUUGUCUCUGGUAUCCCACCAGAAACAAGUCCCAAGCAAAUGCUGCACAAGCUUGUCAUUAAAUUUGCUUGUGGUGCAAAGAACAAAUACAGGGCCUUUGAAUAUGCGAAAGCUCUUCAGCUGGGCUUUGCGCAUGGGCUGCCCUGAAAGAACAUUGAACCUAAAGGUUUGGAUUAAAAGGGAGGGUGUGCUUGUCAUUGUUGCAUUUUGUGGCACAGUCCCCUUCUCACUGGCACACUGUGCUAUAAAAAUGCCUGGGCUGAAUUUUGUUUCCAGUCUGGUCCUGCCUGCAGAUGUUCUGAAAGUGUCACCAACUCCCCUUGUUCCAAACAGUAAAAGAAGCUACAAUGGGUGUUAUUAUUCCUGCCAUUUUGGCAUUUGGGGGUGGAGGUGAAUGGGCUAUUCCAUUCACUGUUUUUCCAUUACAUUAGCAUUGC